rnacentral:rRNA from 1 species
UGGUAUUUUGACCAUGCUAAGGUAUUGAAAUAAGAUUUUAAUUGAGUGCUAAGAGAAUGGUUAAAUGAGGAUAUACUUUUUUAUAUAAAAAAUUAUAAUUUUAAUAAAAUAUAAAAAUGUAUUUAUGAAAUAGUGGGACGAGAAGACCCUAGAACCUUAUAUAUUAUAUAUAUUAUAUAUUAUAUAUAUAAUAUUUUUAUUGGGGCGAUAUAAAAAUAUUUAAAAACUUUAUAAAGAAUUUUUAUUAAAAAAAAUAGUUAAGGUACUCUAGGGAUAACAGCGUUAUUAUUUUGGAUAGUUCAUAUAGAUAAAAUAGUUUGCGACCUCGAUGUUGAAUUAAUGAGUCUUUUAUGUGAAGGAGCAUAAAUAGAAAGAUUGCUCAUCUUUUAAAUCAUUA